GGAGAUGUAUCGAAGUGGUUAUAACGAGAACGACUCGAAAUCGUUUUGGCUUUUAAAAGCCACGUGGGUUCGAAUCCCACCAUCUCCG
rnacentral:tRNA from 1 species